GCACUCUUGGUUUAGUGGUAAAAUCAGCGCUUCCCAUUCCAUCUCACUGUGAUAGAAUUACUGUGAAAGAAUAUGCGCUGGCCCCGGGUUCGAUUCCCGGAGGGUGCA